CGACCAUAUGCUUGAAUUUAAAUGCUAUACAAAACUGCUAAUGUUUAAGCAAUACAUUAGAUAAAACUCAAGAUAUUGAAAAUAAAAAUUUGACUCAAGUCCGUUCUCAGUUUAUGGUCUUGGGGCGAGGACUUGGUGGAAACAACUGGACGAGCAAGGCUAAUGGAUGCUGAUCUUCCAAGAUGUGGAAACAGCAGCUGGAACCUACACAGGACUUGGUGGAAACAACUGGAGGAGACAAGCCUGAUGGAUGUUAACCCCCCCCCCCUUUCAAGACGUAUCACAGAAGAUAACUGACACUGAUCAGUUUGAAGAUUUGAAGACCAUUCAAAGUACUGGGAAUUAAGCAGAUCUCAUUUUGGCUUGGUUUGCUUGAUGACAUUAUGAAGAAUGGGGACCAUUCAGGUUGAAGAGGUGACUUCUAAGAAUGGUGUGGAUGAAGUUUUUCUUCAACAUCGUGAAAAAAAGAAGCCUAAUAGGAAUUGGUGGAAAAAUGUAACUGGUUGAAAAUACAAUGUUGAUGGACAUUGACCCUCUAAGAUGUGGAAAUGAGCAGCUACAGCCACACAGGACU